rnacentral:lncRNA from 1 species
AGUCGGGCUAUGCCCCUUUGGAUCACAAGUUUUGUUUCAUGCUUCUGACAACCGACAUUCAUUGGCAUAAAUUAAGUAGUGAAGAGUCUAAGCUCGGUCAGGUAUAUCAUUUGAAAUUUAACAUGAAGAUCUUAAGUUGGGAAAAACAAAAGACUGAUAUGAGUAAUUGCUACAGCGGAAGUCUAACAUAGGAAUUUAUCGCUAGCCUCAGCUCCGUCCCGUCAGCACCAGCCAGCCAACCUGAAAACAUUUGAAAGUAUUUUUGGGCUAAGUACUAAUGUACUUAGUGGGCAUGCAUUUUCUGAAACAUCUCAUAUUUUAAUAAAGACAGUUUAUCCAAUUAUACUUGACAUGACUUAGAAGGUUUUAAAAUGAAAUAACUUCUAAGCAUGUUAAAAUAUUUUCUUUCAUUUGUGCGCACAUGUCACACUCCCUUUCUGUUACUCGCUGUGAUCCCGGACCUUUUAGCCACCGACGGAUCUCUGUCUCCUGCUUACUUGAACUGAGGGCGUAACCCAGACAAGUUUACUUUGACCUCGGGACGCUACCCAGGCAGGCCUGAUAUUUCUCAUGCUCCGGAACACAUCCAGCCGAGCACCCUUAUAACGCCUCUGGUUAGAGCCCGAUGGAGAUCAACCCACCGAGUCAACUAACAAGUGUACACAAUUCUCAAACAACGUAUUAGGUCAUAAGAGAACCUCAAUUGAUUAACUGUGCGAGCCUUAAACAGAGCAGAGUGCACAUAAAUAUUUUAUUGGAUAAACAGUUUUCAUUACAUUAAAUAAACAAUUUGCAUUUCAUUGAAACAUUUAGAGCUUAAUAACUCAAUCAUACUUUGUACAUUUGGAAAGUAAGCCCACCUGGAUAGGCAAAGCCUGUCGUAUAACCUUA